rnacentral:rRNA from 1 species
GACGAACGCUGGCGGCGUGCCUAACACAUGCAAGUCGUACGGUAAGGCCCUUUCCUUGGUACACUAGUGUCGAACGCGUGCGUAACACUAGAGUAACCUUCCCCCACCUUUGGGAUAACGCUAGGUAACGGGAGCCAAUACUGGUUCUGUGUUCCUUCUUCAUGGUGGUGGUUGGAAAGCGCCGGCCGUUGUGGCUGGACUGGCGGCCUAUCAGCUUGUUGGUGGGGUAGUGGGCUACCAAGGCGGCGUCGGGUAGCCGGCCUGCGUGGGUGACCGGCCACACUGGGACUGAGAGAAGGCCCAGACUCCUACGGGAGGGAGCAGUGGGGAAGAUUGCACGAUGGGCGCAAGCCGGGUGCAGCAGCGCCGCGUGCGGGAUGACGGCCUUAGGGGUGUAGAACGCUUUCAGCAGGAACGAAGCUUUUUGUGACGGUACCUGCAGAAGAAGCACCGGCUAACUACGUG